rnacentral:lncRNA from 1 species
CAUGCCUGGAACACAGAAGGCAUAAUAAGACUUGUGGCAUGAGUGACUAAAUGCCCUUUUGAAUCAGAGAUGAUACCACAACCCUUGGACUGAUGGGAGAAAAGAACCACUUGUUUAACCUCUUCCUGACAUGUCCCCAUCUCCUCUACCCUCAGUGGCUCUCCAGCCAGAGUCUGCCUAGAGGGCGUGAAGGACAGGUGAACCUGGUAGAGUGGGCAGGUAGCAGGCUCUAAGUCUGCCAAUCUGGCAUCACCGCUUGGCGAAAGGCACCUUCUUAAAACAACAAACCUGUGUCUCUAAUUCAGCACUUCCUGCCUGUCUUGAUAACAUCACCUGUCAUUGGAGCCCACAGGACCAGAAUGGGACUGAGGGAACCACUUGGUCUGUCUCCCACUGCCCACCCUGGACCCUGGAGAAGGAAGUCCUGUGCUGCUUCUGUCCCCACCCCCAGCUGCAGCCCUCCCUUCCUGGCAGCCCUCACUCGCAG